CUACCUGGCAGGGGACCCAGCGUCCCUACUGGGCCCAUCGGGCCCACCGAACUGGGACCGUCCCCCUCCGUUGGACCGGAAGUCCCUUGCGCCCCUGCAACGUUAAACGACGAUCCUUGAAUUUCUCCACUCGAUCUAAACACUGCGAAUCGAGACCUGAAAAUUCAAAAUUCGUCUCCCCUUUUUUCGAGGGGAAGGAGGGGAUGAAAAUUUUCACGAGUUUAUAAUGGCAGAUGCAGGGUACCAACGUGGAGCAGCCAUUUAACGUGGAGUGGUCUGACCAGUUAAUCGGUUAUUCACCGGUACGAAGACGAACCGGAGGAUCGUGCCACGGCAUCUAUUCGACUGAUCGUAAGCGCAGGAGCCGGCCACGAGGACGAAGAAAGAAGGGAGGAAGAAUUUAAUGAGAUGGCGGGAGAGGAGAAAAAUCUAGGAGGGGAAGGAAGAUGCUCUCCAGUCAACUCGGCGAAGAGAGAAAGUUGAAGUGGUACCACUCGGUAACAAAGGAAUUCGUUUUCGUAUACACUCGAUUUUUUCAACGAGAUUUCAAACAAGCUGGAAAAUCGUCCAGAAGAAGGUACUCUUCCGAGAACUCCUUUAAACGAGAGAAUUCAAGUUCGUUGCCAGCCAACGAAUAUUAGGAGAGAUAUUAUCGAAGCCCUGAUUGAUUUAAUAUCCAAUAAUGGAAAAAAUGAGAUAUGGAGGGGUCGGUUGAAAUAUCUUCGCAUAUCGAGAGUCCAGAAUUCCGGUGGAAAGCACGCGUGGGUGAGAUCCCAGGCGGGAGAUAGAGUCCAGCGUACAAAGAAGAGGGUUCCCGAGAAGUUUCGAGGUAGCUGGAAGGGCAAAUGGAACGCGAGGAUCCGCGGAAUGCCGACCGUCCGGCUGGCAAUAUCCUUGCCCCGUCCUAUCUCCUCGCAUUAUCCUGCCGUAUCUCAGCCGUGCAACACACAGCCAAACUCUCGUUCUCUUCCCCCUUCUCGUCUUUGCCACGGCGCGGCAUCUUUCGCGGUGUCUCGAGACGCUCCAACACCCUCGAACCGGGAGAAAAUUAUUGCAUUCUAAAACGGAAACAAUGAAAUAGUUUCGUCGGUAUCUUUCGGCUAAACGAAUCUUUCGGCCGCUCCUCCCCAAUGAAGAUAAUGAAUCACCAAAUUCUCGUUACCGUAAUGCCGAUGGAUGAGAUUUUAAGUGGAAGCGUGUCCCUCGAUUACCGUGGGAUUCGUAGAAAGAAUUUCAGUGGCUGGAAAAAUUUUGAUUAUCCAGAUUUAUAAGGUAAAAGUCCACUCGAAGUGAAUUACGAAUUAUAAUUGAGAAAGUUUGUAACUAUGUCAACCACUCCAACUGGUUGGAUUUACUUAGUUACAUGAAAUAUGAUGGAAGCGAUGAGGAUGAAGAUGACACGGUGCGGUACGGUAAGGUACGGCACGAAUCCACAAAGUCCAACUUCUUUAGAUUCUAUUCCUGACAGAGCUGUAGCCAAGAUUAUUCAUUGGAAAAAUUGUAUGUUGAACGAUAAUAUGUUUUAAUAUGAUAUUUGUGAUUGGAUAAAUGGAGUAAGUAAAGAUUGAGUAAAGCUCAAUACAAAAGGUUUAACGUUAUUUCAGGUACGUGAUACAAAAUAUGUUUCUAAAGGAGCAUCAUGUUGGAUAAAAUUUUAGAAAUGCAUCUCAUAUUGCUUGCCUUCACAUUGACCAUAUGCUAUCUUGCUCUUAUCCGUUUUAAAAUGCAUCUCAAAUCGAAUUCUUCUUCGACUCUUGGACAAAGUUGCCAAAAGAGAGUAAUGGAUCCAUGGAAAAGAGAAUUGCGAAAUGGAUAGAGAGGAAAAUGAAAUGCAAAGUGAUAGUGAAAAUGGGAAGGUAGAGAGGGAGGGGUGAGCGAGUUCCAAAAACCUAAGAAGAACAUCAUCGAUCGCAGCUGUCGCGUUCGCUCCGCACCUGCUAUUGUCCGCUUGCCUUCCAGUCGACGACAAGUGAGAGAGGGAACGACCCCUUUCCUUUCCGUAUAUGUAGCACGAACCAGUGUACGGGCGUGCGCGCGUGCAUGAAGGUGUCGUACACGUUGCCCGCGUAAACUUCGGUCCACGUGUCAUUGCGUGAGGACCACCUACUAGUUUUCAUGCGUCUUCCUUUCGUCGACCCUUCUCACACCUCUUUUCCCCCUUGGUCUUUCUUUUUGUUCGUUUUUGUUUUAUUUCUCUGUUAUAUAAUUAUGUGUUAUGCAACGAUAAUUGUUCUCCAAAACGAUCGAUAAUCGUGGCAAAUGUGUGAAAUGUUGUCCUAUACAUCAUUCAUCCUUAUCUUUGAACGAUUUUAUCUUUCAUUUUCGAUAGGACAAUUUAGAAAUUGGACCAUUUACCUUUUCCUUGUUUUAUCAUUUUCUUAAUUUAAUAUUGUGCGACAAAUUAUUUUAAGGACAGCAAUAUAUUGGUAACAAAAAAUAAUGGUUGAUUAUUAAUCAUUAGUACACUUAUCUUAAUUUUAAGAAAUAUUAUUUUGUAAAUCCUUAUUGAAAAAUUUCACUUCUUCGGGAUACUUGAUAAUAAUUAUCGUGUAUUUGUCGUCAGAAAAGAAAAAAGAGAGACCAAAACCACCGUCCUAAUCAAUUUAACCCACACUCUCGACUACUCUUUCAGACCAAAAACGUGACCACUGUCCAAAUGACAAAAAAUCCAAGACACCCCCGGUCCCAAAAGAUGUAGAGUACUCGAGCAUAUAGAAACUGUGAAUGAAAGAAUGAGUCACAAAGGGGGUAGAUAUCUCGAAGGGUAAAUCGCUUAGGAAGGGUGCCAACUGUUCGUUGCAACACUUGCGCGAACACGUAACCGCGAGGGAAUUUCGAUGGAUUUCACGUCAGUCAAGGGAUUCGCGAUGCCCAGGGGCGUUUCGCACCGAGAGCAAAAUCCCAUGAGAAACGGACCAAGUGGUGCAAUGGAGGGAGGAGGUUGCGGAUCUACGAAAGAGUCAGUCGGGAUUAACGAUGUAUCGAUUCGAGGGUGCGUCACGAAAAGUCAUUUUCAUCUGGCCUUCCGAAAGUUUUCGCUUAAUCCUCUUAGUCCUAUCAUCCGAUAUUUUAAUCUAGAAUCAGCAUAUAUUUCUCAGCGAUUUAAGCUGAAAAGUUUUGAAUGAGAAUUUCAAACAUAUAGAUGGAGAAAUUAUUCAAGAUCUAAAUCUAUAAAAUUCUCUUUAAGACAUUUUAAAUUAUGAACAAGGAUUUGAAUGUUGUUAAUAUUUGUCAAUAAUUGCAAUAAUAGAUGCAUAUUAAUAAUUUUCUUCAACCAGCAUAUUAUUGCGUUAUAUAUUAUAUUAAUAUUUAAAAUAUUAAUCAAUGGACAUUACAUGGUUUGAUUAUCAGCAAAAAAUCUACUUAUUACUCAAAAUGAUUCAAUUUACACUUUUGCACAUUUUUCUAAAAAAUCCUUGGCAGAAUAUACUCUAAUAAUAUAUUUUAAUUUUGUAAUUUUUUUAAUAGAUUUCGGCCUAUCGUCGUUUGAAUAUCGAGUGGAAAGAAAACUAUCUAUUAUUAAUAAAUACAUUUUCUUUCUGAAUAUUUGGCAUCGAUAGAUAUACAAUCUCUUCUUGGGAAUGGGAAAUAAAUCUAAUGAACACAAUACUCACC